rnacentral:rRNA from 1 species
GUGGGGAAUAUUGGACAAUGGGCGAAAGCCUGAUCCAGCCAUGCCGCGUGUGUGAAGAAGGUCUUCGGAUUGUAAAGCACUUUAAGUUGGGAGGAAGGGCAGUAAGUUAAUACCUUGCUGUUUUGACGUUACCGACAGAAUAAGCACCGGCUAACUUCGUGCCAGCAGCCGCGGUAAUACGAAGGGUGCAAGCGUUAAUCGGAAUUACUGGGCGUAAAGCGCGCGUAGGUGGUUUUGUAAGUUGGAGGUGAAAUCCCCGGGCUCAACCUGGGAACUGCCUCCAAAACUGCAUGACUAGAGUACGGUAGAGGGUAGUGGAAUUUCCUGUGUAGCGGUGAAAUGCGUAGAUAUAGGAAGGAACACCAGUGGCAAAGGCGACUACCUGGACUGAUACUGACACUGAGGUGCGAAAGCGUGGGGAGCAAACAGGAUUAGAUACCCUUGUAGUCC